AGACGCUGGUCUUGUUGGGGAUUAGCCUAAAGACUGGAGCUAGGCUUUGGUUUUGUUGAGGGACAACUUGGAAACCAAUGCAAGAUACCAGCCUGUUAGUCUACCUGAGUUCAAACUUAGAUCAAGUUCUCUAAAAUGGAGUCUGAACUUAAAAGACUUGACCUCUCACCCCCUUCCCUUUCUCUUUCGACCAGAAGGCCCAAUCACGGAACUUCUGAAGCUUCAUGAAAACAGUGACAGGGCUAUGUCUUUGUGGUGCCCCUGGGGCAUGGGUAGGGGCAUCAGUGGGAGACAAGAGGGAGUCUUGAGGCUGAAUUCUCCUCCUGCUGGCCAGGGUCUUCUUCAACAGCAACUGGAUGUGUGGUGGACUCUGUAGCACAGGGACCCUUUCAGCGAAGCUCUAUGACCCCUGGCUGUGUCUCCAGGCUCAAGUUGAUGGAGCUCCACAGGUGGACCUGCUUUAUGGAAAGCACAAUGCUAUGCCAAACAAGCUUGUGCACCCACUGGGCACCCUCGAGAUCAUGUAACAGCUUCUGUCAGCAGGUGAACCAAACACAACUUCAAAAGGGAGUGGUUCUGCCCAUAUGAUCUUGGUGUCUGAGACCAUCACUGCCCCAGCAUAUCUCUGUCCAUCCUGAAUGAGGCAGUUGCCAUUGGUGAACCAUGUUACCUCUGCAUCCAUCUGAGCAGUCAUGCAGAAGCCCAUCAAUCAAGCUCAGGGUCAGGCAGCAGGGCAGCUGAAACGUUAUCCUGGGGGCAUUCGAGAAGAGAGGAUGGUAAGGAGUCAUUCUGGCAUCAUCUUUAACCAGAAGGCUGCACAAACGGGGGUGGGAGGGCAGCUUCUGGCAAGUGGUAUCAGAUUGGCUAUUGGCUGAUGUCAGGGCCCCGAGUCUGGGUAUGCAUCCCCUGGGUCUAGGGAGGUCACCUGUAAUUGGUAGAGUGUAGCCUCCCCUCUCCAGCCUGAAACCUGCUUGCUCAGGGGUGGAGCUUGCCGCUCAAUCAUUCUGCCUCGCCCACUGCUGGAGCCUGCCGCUUUGCUGUUCCGAAGCCAUCACGUGUUCACCUGCAACCUUACUCCAAGAUUAUUUGGCAGGAAUCGGCCCCUCCCCCUCCUUCAUAACGGAGUGUCGGAAUAGUAAAAUUGAACCUUGAGCAGAGCCUUGUCUUGGUUCCGUCUUUAUCUCGCGCUGCCUAGUCCCCUUCUUCUCUUCCAGGUUUCUAAGAUGCCUUUCCAGACUUGAACCCAAACAUGUGAGCUGCAGGCCGGACACAACAGUAGAGUAAGGCCUUCUUUGUCAAGGCUCAAUAGCCCAAUAUUUUUAGGGCCUCUAAGAUGUCCUGAGUCUUUGUUUUGUUUCUGUUGCCACUGGAAAGCCAUUUAUAAACUGAUGAAGAGACUUGAUCUUCAUGUUUUAGCAAGACAGAAUAUUGAACUUUAUUAAAAAUCAACAACAACAGGAAAACUGUUGGGUUUCCCUUUUACUCUUAGGGUUACCCUGGGGUUGGGGAUGGGGCACUUUUGACCUCAGGGCCUCCCUUAACUCCUUCUUCUGAAGUUGUCUGUUUUAGGCAUCUCCUAUGGUCUUCUAGUUUGUCCAUGGCUGCCAACAGGAUCUUUGCCCAUUCUCGAAUCUGUUGCUUCUCUCCUCUCAUCUGCUUUUCCUCUGCAGUCUCUCUCUUUUUUAAAAAUACUCUCUGUCACUAUGACUAAGUUUCUCUGACUCCUUUCUCCUAACCUCUCAACCCUCUGGAGCUCUUUCUUCUUUCUCCCCCCCCC
rnacentral:lncRNA from 1 species